CUCUUUGAUGUAAUUAUCAUGUUGAAAUAAAAUUUUUAAUAAUAAUAAUAAUAAUAAUAAUAAUAGCUCUGGUACAAAUAUUUCAACCGAAUAUUUUUUAAUUAUUUCCUUGCGAUAAUAAUGUGGGAUCUUUUUCAAUUAACACCUAACACGCUAUAUAUUACAUACAACCUGCCGAAAGAUGACGUGAGCAACACUGUGGAGCAACUCACACGUCAGGUUAUAUUUUAAUAUUCCCACGGAAACAUGCAAAUAAUCACGUGGAUUUGUUCAAAUACCAUAAAGUUUCGUUUACGAGAUUCUUGUAUUUCGGAUUUGUGCGGACGUUUGGUGUAUCGAGCCAUGCACUUCAAAGCCUGUUAAAACUGCGUAUUUUAAUUUUAUACGAGCGCAUCUAAUGCAUAGUUAAUGUAGCUUUUAACACAGCAGGGUUAACAUUGAAAUUAUUUUUUGACGCGGUUUGAAUUCACAUUUGCAUUGCAUUUGCCUAGUUUUAAGUACAUUGAUUAUAAGACUACAGUCAAGAAACAAUGCAUUUGAUUUAACGUGUAUGACGUGCCUAAUGCUAGAAAACAGCAAUUUACCCCGUCUCUGCAUGGGCAAGUGUUAUGUUAUGUUAUGUUAUUAUGCAUGUGUUAUGUUAUGUUAUGUGUUAUGUCUUGUGUUAUUGUUAUGUUUAUAUAUAUAUGUUAUUG